AUUGAACGCUGGCGGCAUGCUUUACACAUGCAAGUCGAACGGUAACAGCACUUCGGUGGCUGACGAGUGGCGAACGGGUGAGUAAUACAUCGGAACGUGCCUAGUAGUGGGGGAUAACUACUCGAAAGAGUAGCUAAUACCGCAUGAGAUCUAAGGAUGAAAGCAGGGGACCUUCGGGCCUUGCGCUACUAGAGCGGCUGAUGGCAGAUUAGGUAGUUGGUGGGAUAAAAGCUUACCAAGCCGACGAUCUGUAGCUGGUCUGAGAGGACGACCAGCCACACUGGGACUGAGACACGGCCCAGACUCCUACGGGAGGCAGCAGUGGGGAAUUUUGGACAAUGGGCGCAAGCCUGAUCCAGCAAUGCCGCGUGCAGGAUGAAGGCCUUUGGGUUGUAAACUGCUUUUGUACGGAACGAAAAGCCCUCUUCUAAUACAGGAGGGUCAUGACGGUACCGUAAGAAUAAGCACCGGCUAACUACGUG
rnacentral:rRNA from 1 species